GACGAACGCUGGCGGCGUGCCUAAUACAUGCAAGUUGAGCGAUGAAGAUUGGUGCUUGCCCCAAUUUGAAGAGCAGCGAACGGGUGAGUAACGCGUGGGGAAUCUGCCUUUGAGCGGGGGACAACAUUUGGAAACGAAUGCUAAUACCGCAUAACAACUUUAAACAUAAGUUUUAAGUUUGAAAGAUGCAAUUGCAUCACUCAAAGAUGAUCCCGCGUUGUAUUAGCUAGUUGGUGAGGUAAAGGCUCACCAAGGCGAUGAUACAUAGCCGACCUGAGAGGGUGAUCGGCCACAUUGGGACUGAGACACGGCCCAAACUCCUACGGGAGGCAGCAGUAGGGAAUCUUCGGCAAUGGACGAAGGUCUGACCGAGCAACGCCGCGUGAGUGAAGAAGGUUUUCGGAUCGUAAAACUCUGUUGGUAGAGAAGAACGUUGGUGAGAGUGGAAAGCUCAUCAAGUGACGGUAACUACCCAGAAAGGGACGGCUAACUACGU
rnacentral:rRNA from 1 species